GCCUGGGCGACAGAGUAAGAUCCUGUCUCAGAGAGAGAGAGAGAGAGAUUGAGAAGAGAGAAGUGCAAGAUCACACUUCUGCAGCUCUUUUUUUCUCCUUCUGGCACAUUUUUCAUUUUUAAGACCCCACGUCCUCCAUAUAUGCUUUCCUGGCCCACCCAUUUCCCUCCUCCCCUUACACAGAUGGAGAACUUCCUUUCUGGUGUUCUCUCAGCACUCAGCACAGAUUGCUAGUGCUUUUAUGUGCUGAGCCUUUCCCUUCAACCUGGACUGAAAGAGGAUGGCAAUCUCGCUGAAGCUGUUUCUUUUUCUUCACAACAUAUAGGAAAGUGUUGCCCCUUUUUGGAGUGGUGCAUAGGACGAUGACUAUAGAUUUUCAUCUGUAACUCCUAAAAACUUACUCAGAAAGUAACAACCUCCACCAACACUACUUGAAUCAGUACUGAACGAAUGUCAGGUCCUUGGGAAAUUCUCCAAUCCUGUCUCCUGUCCUGGCCGGGUGUGCUCCUGGUGCACCAUUCGACUAAGUCAAUUUGAACUAUUUGGGAGACCUUUGUACCUACGUUUCCUUCUGCUUGGAAGAUCCUUUCUGUUUUGUCAGCUCUUACUUCCAUGUUGUGGAAAACUGAUCUGACCUCCUAGUCCUGAAUCAGGGGCCAUAAAGAAAAUUGAUGAGGACAACUGGCCUCCCAGUAUGUGGAUUCAGUUUCCAUAUGUCAAUUUACCAACUCCCACUGGUAGUCUGAAGAGAUAUGGCUACUGGAGAACAGAAAAUCACCAGUAUUAAUAAAAGCAAUUUUAAGUGUUUACCUUUUAGUAUUUGAAUAGCUUUGUUAAAGAGACGUACUCAAGAAUACUAUGAAGAGACUCUUAUUGUACUCCUUACCUGGAGAUAAUUGUGAUGCCAGAAAUUCAAAUUUAUAUUCAACAAUAUGGUUUUUCAACCAUCAAUAUUAUAAACAUCUAGGCAGUGUCUAUUGUUUGCGCAUUUGCCAUCCUCUAAAAUGAGAUUAUUCUAAGCAUAAAUUAUACUUCAUCAUUCAAGAUUAUAAACAUUUAUAAUAAUCAUAAUAUUCACAGACAUUUCCCUGCUCUCAAAUCACUAGAGCUAAUAGGCAAAGUAGAUACAGCUACAAACAGUGGGAGAAAAUAUUUCUGGCUGACCUACAAAUAGCUGUGCAAUAAUGUAGAGAGGAAAAUAUAGUCUCACUUACAGUGUCUGAAAUUGAGUUUCCCUCUUUAAAGGACAAAGUAAUUUUCAAAAAUAUUUGAGUAUUAUUCUGUGUAAAAAAUCUCUGUUUUAACUGGCUUAUUGAAUUGUAUUUCUUUAUUGUGUUUGUAUUCACUUUUCCAUUUGUGGGUGGAAUUUAUUAUAAUUACCAGUUUUAUACUGAAUGAAACAAAAAUCUCAUAGAUUUAAUAAAACUUUAAAUUCCUUGUCAUUAAUAAUAAAAUGUAUAUGCUUUCUCUAAUAAGUCCAUACUUUAUUGUUUAAAACCUGUUUUUCCUCUUUCUCAAGCACAUGGAUUGUUAAUUUAAAUUCUGAAAUAAAGCCAAUUAAUCCAUAAACAUGGACUGUGGAUAAUGUCGAUAUUACAUGUAAAUUUCUCAGUGUGUGUUUCGUGGACCCAAUAGCAUCAGCAUUAGCUGGGGACUUACGAGGUGGCCUGUGCCUGUAGUCCCAGCUACUCAGGAGGCUGAGGCAGGAGAAUCGCU
rnacentral:lncRNA from 10 species